UCCUUAUAAUAAAAAUUUUGUUACUUGAUUAGUAUAAAUGUAUAUAAAUAUUUACUUUUGUAUUUGAAAUUUAAAAAGUUUGGCGGUAUUAUAUAUCCUUUCAGGGGAGUUUGCUUAUUAAUUUGAUAAUCCUCAAUUUAUACUUACUUUUUUUAGUAUAAAUAAAUAGUUAUUUAUCAGUUUGUAUAUUUCUGUCAUCAGUUUAUUUUGUAAGAUAAUAUUAAAUAAACUUAAUAAUAAUAUUUGUUAUUAUGUCAAGUCAAAAUGCAGCUAAUAAAAAAGGUUUACAAAGUGAGCUACAAUUCAUAAUUUUUGAUCGGAUUAAUUCAUGUAAUUGUAUUAUGAAGUUGGACUUGAUAGUAAUAGUUUAAUAGGGUGUUGUUAUGAAUGUAGGUUUUAUAAUGCGU
rnacentral:rRNA from 1 species